rnacentral:lncRNA from 1 species
GGUUUUUCUACUCUUAGCCAAAGCUUGUUAUGAACAGAAGUUGGGCAUUGUAUUUGAAGUAAUUAAUGUAGGUUUAUGUCUCUAUGAUUAUAAAAACCACCAUAUCAUCUUGAAAGCUGGGUGAUUUUUGGACCUUGACAGUCUGAGUAUGUGAUUGGGGACAGUGACUGGGAUGUCUAAGUCAGUCACUGCUUGUGACCAGGACAGAAGUUUGAGGAAUCUGAGCAAUUCGUGGGAUGAGUUGGAUGUGUUUUUCCCGUUUGGGAGAGUGAGAAUGUAUACAAUCUGGGCAUAGAUGUAGAGCAGAGCGGCAGAAGGGAGCCUCAGAUGGACGACCUUUCCAUCCUUUAACCCAGAGUGAAGUCACGGGAGGGACUUCAUGACUGCCUUCCAGGAGAUCACUCUGGAGGUGGGGAAGAGCAGCCUUGUGUCUCCUUCCACAGUUUAGAGCCCAUGACCCCUGUGCUUUCUCCCAGAAUACUGCAUGUCCCUAACUAAGCUGUGUCCACAAUGACCAGGACUGUGCGUUUAUUGUGAGCCUCUAUACAUGAACUUUGUCACUGCCUCUUCAGGACCCAUUAUACUUGACACAAUUCUCAAGCCGAAAAGGGGAGUCUGGUGAGAGUCUGUCAUUAGUGUGAAGUAGGUAAUAUGUGCAGUGUUUAAGCAGAACCUGUGAUAGGAGCUUCCCUGGAUCCCUUUUGCUGGCAGCAGUGUGGGGAUUGACAUGUUCUUUCAUAUUUCUUGCUUUAGGGUGUUUUGCAUGUGGAAUGGAAAAUGGAUUCCGAGUCUAUAAUACCGAUCCACUCAAAGAAAAAGAGAAACAAGGUAAGGGAAUGGUGGUCAUCUCCUGGGUUCUCUGUAUUAGCCUUCAGUCUAGAGAGAGGGCCUUAACUAAGGAGGAAGGAAGGUUUGGCACUUUGUAAACCGGGACAGAACUGUGGGGCUUUAUAGGAGUUUUGCUUGCUAGCUGUAUUAGGAGACAAGGGUGGCCAGCCUGUAUUCUUCAGUACAUUUUCAUGUUUUUCCUCUUUUACAUCUUCAGCCCCUGCUACCUCUGUGUGGAAGAAUGUGAUGUAUUUAAUGCUGGGCACUUUUUUUUUUUUUUUUAAGAUUUAUUUAUUUAUUAUAUGUAUACUGUAGCUGUCUUCAGACACUCCAGAAGAGGGCGCCAGAUCUUAUUACAGAUGGUUGUGAGCCACCAUGUGGUUGCUGGGAUUUGAACUCUGGACCUUUGGAAGAGCAGUCGGGUGCUCUUACCCACUGAGCCAUCUCCCCAGCCCGCUGGGCACUUUCUUUCAUGCUUCUCUUGCUGAAUGUAAAACUAUAGAAAAAUCAGAUCAUGGGUUUCAUUGCAGUGUCUGGGACUCCUAAGCUCCAUUUAAAAUGUGUAGUACUUACGAAGCAUUGAUAGCUGGAUAUAAUGGCACAUAUCUGUAACCCUGGCAUUCUGAUCUUAGCACACAGGAAGCUGAGAUAGGAUUUUGAGUUCAAGGCCAAACAGGCUUCAUAACAAAACAGUCUGAAAAAAGAAAAUUUCUCAUUACAGAGAAAACCUGCCUC